rnacentral:rRNA from 1 species
UGGAGUUUACGACGGCAGUGAUUAGAGUUUGAUCCUGGCUCAGGAUGAACGCUAGCUACAGGCUUAACACAUGCAAGUCGAGGGGCAGCAUAAUCGAAGCUUGCUUUGAUUGAUGGCGACCGGCGCACGGGUGAGUAACGCGUAUCCAACCUUCCCCUUAGUAGAGGAUAGCCCGGCGAAAGUCGGAUUAAUACUCUAUGUUAUUCGUUGAGGACAUCUGAAAUGAAUCAAAGGUUUACCGCUAAGGGAUGGGGAUGCGUCUGAUUAGGUUGUUGGCGGGGUAACGGCCCACCAAGCCCACGAUCAGUAGGGGUUCUGAGAGGAAGGUCCCCCACAUUGGAACUGAGACACGGUCCAAACUCCUACGGGAGGCAGCAGUGAGGAAUAUUGGUCAAUGGACGGAAGUCUGAACCAGCCAAGUAGCGUGCAGGAUGACGGCCCUAUGGGUUGUAAACUGCUUUUGUACGGGAAUAAAGUGCGGGACGUGUCCCGUUUUGUAUGUACCGUAAGAAUAAGGACCGGCUAAUUCCGUGCCAGCAGCCGCGGUAAUACGGAAGGUCCGGGCGUUAUCCGGAUUUAUUGGGUUUAAAGGGAGCGCAGGCUGGAGAUUAAGCGUGACGUGAAAUGCCGCGGCUCAACCGUGGAAGUGCGUCGCGAACUGGUUUCCUUGAGUGUAUUCGACGUCAGCGGAAUUCGUGGUGUAGCGGUGAAAUGCUUAGAUAUCACGAAGAACUCCGAUUGCGAAGGCAGCUGGCGAGGCUAUAACUGACGCUAAAGCUCGAAGGUGCGGGUAUCGAACAGGAUUAGAUACCCUGGUAGUCCGCACGGUAAACGAUGGAUGCCCGCUGUAUGCGAUAUACUGUAUGCGGCCAAGCGAAAGCGUUAAGCAUCCCACCUGGGGAGUACGCCCGGCAACGGUGAAACUCAAAGGAAUUGACGGGGCCCGCACAAGCGGAGGAACAUGUGGUUUAAUUCGAUGAUACGCGAGGACCUUACCCGGGCUUGAACUGCAGAGAACGAUUCAGAGAUGAUGAGUCCUUCGGACUCCUGUGAGUGCUGCAUGGUUGUCGUCAGCUCGUGCGUGAGUGUCGCUAGGUGCAUACGAGCGCCACCCUGGCGACUAGUGCAUCAGUCAUUGGCUGGGCACUCUGUGAACUGCCCACGUAAGGGUUGAGAAGCGUUGGGAUUGAACUUCAUCAGUCGGGCUUAAUCGCUCUGUCCGGGCCUCUACACACGGUGUUUUAUUCAG